GGCCCGGUAGCUCAGUCGGUAGAGCAGAGGAUUGAAAAUCCUUGUGUCGGUGGUUCGAUUCCGCCCCAGGCCA
rfam:Comamonadaceae bacterium CG2_30_57_122 cg2_3.0_scaffold_6035_c, whole genome shotgun sequence.